GAUUCUGAUUCAGAAUCUGAAUCUGAACAAAGUGAUGAGAGUGAAGAAUCAUCACCUGCAGAGAAGGAGAAUGAGAAGAAAAAAACAAAAACAACACCAAAAAAAACACAACCAAAAAAGAAAAAAGUUCUUGUGGAGGAUUCACCUCCUAAAGAAGACCAAUACUUUCACGGGUACAGUACCUCGUAAGCUAUAUUACCGUCUAUCGUCGUAAUUAUUUUUGUUAACAUCUUCCUUUAUGAAUGUAGUGAGA